rnacentral:tRNA from 1 species
UGAAUUUUAACAAAUUUCUUAGG